rnacentral:rRNA from 1 species
GACGAACGCUGGCGGCGUGCUUAACACAUGCAAGUCGAACGGUGAACCCGCUUCGGUGGGGGAUCAGUGGCGAACGGGUGAGUAACACGUGGGCAACCUGCCCCCGGCUCUGGGAUAACUCCAAGAAAUUGGGGCUAAUACCGGAUAUGUCCGCUGACCGCAUGGUCUGGUGGUGGAAAGGGUUUCCGGCUGGGGAUGGGCCCGCGGCCUAUCAGCUUGUUGGUGGGGUAGUGGCCUACCAAGGCGACGACGGGUAGCCGGCCUGAGAGGGUGACCGGCCACACUGGGACUGAGACACGGCCCAGACUCCUACGGGAGGCAGCAGGGGGGAAUAUUGCGCAAUGGGCGAAAGCCUGACGCAGCGACGCCGCGUGGGGGAUGACGGCCUUCGGGUUGUAAACCUCUUUCAGCAGGGACGAAGCCCUUGGGGUGACGGUACCUGCAGAAGAAGCACCGGCCAACUACGUGCCAGCAGCCGCCGUAACAC